rnacentral:rRNA from 1 species
AACGAACUUCCGUUAAUUGAUUAUGACGUACUUGUACUGAUUGAGAUUUUAACACGAAGUGAGUGGCGAAUGGGUGAGUAACACGUGGGUAACCUGCCCAGAAGUAGGGGAUAACACCUGGAAACAGAUGCUAAUACCGUAUAACAGAGAAAACCGCAUGGUUUUCUUUUAAAAGAUGGCUCUGCUAUCACUUCUGGAUGGACCCGCGGCGUAUUAGCUAGUUGGUGAGGUAAAGGCUCACCAAGGCAGUGAUACGUAGCCGACCUGAGAGGGUAAUCGGCCACAUUGGGACUGAGACACGGCCCAGACUCCUACGGGAGGCAGCAGUAGGGAAUCUUCCACAAUGGACGCAAGUCUGAUGGAGCAACGCCGCGUGAGUGAAGAAGGGUUUCGGCUCGUAAAGCUCUGUUGUUAAAGAAGAACGUGGGUAAGAGUAACUGUUUACCCAGUGACGGUAUUUAACCAGAAAGCCACGGCUAACUACGUGCCAGCAGCCGCGGUAAUACGUAGGUGGCAAGCGUUAUCCGGAUUUAUUG